rnacentral:rRNA from 1 species
GCGUGAGUGAUGAAGGUUUUCGGAUCGUAAAGCUCUGUUGUUAGGGAAGAACAAGUACCGUUCGAAUAGGGCGGUACCUUGACGGUACCUAACCAGAAAGCCACGGCUAACUACGUGCCAGCAGCCGCGGUAAUACGUAGGUGGCAAGCGUUGUCCGGAAUUAUUGGGCGUAAAGGGCUCGCAGGCGGUUUCUUAAGUCUGAUGUGAAAGCCCCCGGCUCAACCGGGGAGGGUCAUUGGAAACUGGGGAACUUGAGUGCAGAAGAGGAGAGUGGAAUUCCACGUGUAGCGGUGAAAUGCGUAGAGAUGUGGAGGAACACCAGUGGCGAAGGCGACUCCCUGGUCUGUAACCGACGCUGAGGAGCGAAAGCGUGGGGAGCGAACAGGAUUAGAUACCCUGGUAGUCCACGCCGUAAACGAUGAGUGCUAAGUGUUAGA